rnacentral:rRNA from 1 species
AGUGAACGCUGGCGGUAGGCCUAACACAUGCAAGUCGAACGGCAGCACAGUAAGAGCUUGCUCUUACGGGUGGCGAGUGCCGGACGGGUGGGAAAUACAUCGGAAUCUACUUUUUCGUGGGGGAUAACGGAGUGAAACUUACGCUAAUACCGCAUACGACCUACGGGUGAAAUCAGGGGAUCUUCGGACCUUGCGCGAUGGAGUGAGCCGAUGUCGGAUUAGCUCGUUGGCGGGGUAAAGGCCCGCCAAGGCGACGCUCCGUAGCGGGUCUGAGGGGAUGAUCAGCCGCACUGGAACUGAGACACGGCCGAGACUCCUACGGGAGGCAGCAGCGGGGAAUAUUGGAGCAUGGGCGCAAGACUGAUCCAGCCAUACCGCGGGGGUGAAGAAGGACUUCGGGUUGUUGAGCACUUUUGUCGGGAAAGAAAAGCAGCAGGUUAGUAUCUCGGUGUGUUGACGGUACCCAAAGAAUAAGCACCGGCUAACUACGUG